GAAACACUGCUACGUGUAGCAGCUUGACGGUACUGUAAGAAUAAGGAUCGGCUAACUCCGUGCCAGCAGCCGCGGUAAUACGGAGGAUCCAAGCGUUAUCCGGAAUCAUUGGGUUUAAAGGGUCCGUAGGUGGAUAAUUAAGUCAGAGGUGAAAUCCUGCAGCUCAACUGUAGAAUUGCCUUUGAUACUGGUUAUCUUGAGUUAUUAUGAAGUAGUUAGAAUAUGUAGUGUAGCGGUGAAAUGCAUAGAUAUUACAUAGAAUACCAAUUGCGAAGGCAGAUUACUAAUAAUAUACUGACACUGAUGGACGAAAGCGUGGGGAGCGAACAGGAUUAGAUACCCUGGUAG
rnacentral:rRNA from 1 species